CCCUAGGCCUAUCAAAUUAGUUCCCAAUUCCCAUCUAGGGUUUUCGCAUCCUCCCCCUCCCAUUCCCUCCGCCUUCCCUUCACCUUCUCGCAUCAGUCCGCCGCCACCCGCGCCGCUCCUUCUGCAUGCCACCGCACGCCGCCCUCACCCCAGCCGUGUGCCCAUUGGCCCCCUUUCUCGGUGGCCGUGGCGUGGGUAAAGGAGGCCGGAUUGAGCUUCGCCAGUCGCCCCAAGGCCAAGUUGCGCCCUGCCUCGCUAGAAUCCAGACGGCCACCGCGAUUCAAACAAUCAGACGCUGGCCGCAGUAGCAGGAAAUGCGAGCCUUCCCUCUGCCUCAAUUGAUCUGGCGAAUGCUCUUCCCUUGCCUCAAUCGGUCCGGCGCGAGGCGAUUCAACGAUCAGAUGCCGCAGUAGCAGGAAUCGCGAGCAGACGCAUCGGCGCCGCACACGCAUCAGGUCUGCCGGGAGCAGACCUCGUCAUCCGCUGAACUCAGCCACCUCCACUGAUUUGCAAUGGUUUUCAAAUUGAGAAAUGGGCGGCUUGCGUGGAGGACUGUGAGGCGUUAUUGAGGGAGAAUCCGGAAAAUAAGGAAAUCGCGAGGAUGAUGAAGGAGACGGAGGUGCAACUGAGGAAGGGAGGCGCCGCCCAGGAGUUGAAAUGCGCUGGCGGGGAUGCUGCUGGCUUGCUCGUGGUGGCCAGCAGUGAGCAUUUUAGGGACUUUGUGGCUUCUUCUGGAUUCUGAAUCCAAAAACUAUACGAUUUUAGGUUCAACAAUGAGCUGGAUUCAAUCCAUUUUUCAAUUAAGAACGCCUCAAAGCUAGUUAAGAAAAUUGGUAGGCAGGUUGCAACUGAUCGGUGUAUCAUGGCUCUCCUAUUCCUUAUUGUUGUCGGUGUCAUAGCUAUCAUUAUUGUGAAGGUCAGAUGCCUGUUUGCUUUCCUGUUUUGCUCAUAUUUUACUGUGGAAAAUUUAUGGAAAUAUGUAUAUUUUCUUCUAAAAACCAUGAACUUUCCUGUUACUUGAUCAUCUAUGAACUCAUAUGUAUAAUCUAUGAAGGCAUAGCACUUUGUUUUUCUUGGAUGUCAUCUGUUUCAGAUUCGAGCCUUGUUAACGAGGUCAAUAAGUUUACUCUAGCUGGUUUUGUGUCAUAAUUGACUUGUCAUACUUGUAAUCUAGGCUAUCAAUAUGUUAAGCAUUACAAAUGGUUUCAAUGUUG